CCUACGGGAGGCAGCAGUGGGGAAUUUUGGACAAUGGACGCAAGUCUGAUCCAGCCAUGCCGCGUGCGGGAAGAAGGCCUUCGGGUUGUAAACCGCUUUUGUCAGGGAAGAAACGGCUUUCUCUAAUACAGAAGGCUAAUGACGGUACCUGAAGAAUAAGCACCGGCUAACUACGUGCCAGCAGCCGCGGUAAUACGUAGGGUGCAAGCGUUAAUCGGAAUUACUGGGCGUAAAGCGUGCGCAGGCGGUUAUGCAAGACAGAUGUGAAAUCCCCGGGCUCAACCUGGGAACUGCAUUUGUGACUGCAUGGCUAGAGUACGGUAGAGGGGGAUGGAAUUCCGCGUGUAGCAGUGAAAUGCGUAGAUAUGCGGAGGAACACCGAUGGCGAAGGCAAUCCCCUGGACCUGUACUGACGCUCAUGCACGAAAGCGUGGGGAGCAAACAGGAUUAGAUACCCUGGUAGUCCACGCCCUAAACGAUGUCAACUGGUUNUUGGGAGGGUUUCUUCUCAGUACGAGCUAACGCGUGAAGUUGACCGCCGNGGGAGGUAACGGUCCGCGAGGUUAGUAACGUUACGAAGGAAGUUAGACGGCGNGAGACGNGCGACGGACGACGACGAGGGAGGAGG
rnacentral:rRNA from 1 species